GUCAGGAUGGCCGAGUGGUCUAAGGCGCCAGACUCAAGGUUAAACCUUCCUGUGAAACGGGACUUCUGGUCUCCGAAUGGAGGCGUGGGUUCGAAUCCCACUUCUGACA
rnacentral:tRNA from 1 species